CCCUUCCAGUGCCACUUGUGAGCUCUAACAACCAAAGAAACGAAGAAACAACGACUAAGACAGAGGCCAAGAAAAAGACUUGGAGCAGAUGGAACCUUCCCGGAUAUGUUGUCACACCCCAGAUCAGCUCAGUUCACAUUUCCCAAGGUCAUGUAACUUCUUUUUUUUUUUUUUUGCGGUACGCGGGCCUCUCACUGCUGUGGCCUCUCCCAUUGCGGAGCACAGGCUCCGGAUGCGCAGGCUUAGCAGCCAUGGCUCACGGGCCCAGCCGCUCCGCGGCAUGUGGGAUCCUCCCGGACCAAGGCACGAACCCGCGUCCCCUGCAUCGGCAGGCGGACUCUCAACCACUGUGCCACCAGGGAAGCCCAGGUCAUGUAACUUCUACUUUUAAACCUCAGGGAAGUAACUGCAAGUGCACCCAUGUGUAAAGAUGUAAUUGUGUACGCAUGUAUGCUGCUGGUGUUUCUGUGCAUCUGUGGAUUUGAGCAACUCCAUGCUCAAAAGCAAGGCUGAUAUUCAAAAUAGAUAAAAACUAGCUCACCACAGAGACUGACUAAUCAAGGCAAAUGCCAACCUGUACGUCAGACCAGGGCACGCUGACUGCACAAAGCCCAGCGCGUUUCCACUCCACCUGCUGUGGCUGAGAUGGGACUUCAGAGUAGGGGAGCAGCUAAGCUGGUUCUUGAUUUCCUUGGUCUUGUGAUGUGUCACUGAGGGUGGGUCUGGGUCCAGAAGCUACUGGACUCAGAUGGCUAUAAACAUUGUAUUUGGAAUAGACAUAUAGACUGGGCAUAAGGAAGAACAGGCAACUGCCUUUCAAGCCUUACAUAAGGGUACACACUCCCCUUUAGUCUGGCUUAGAGGGAUAGGAUUCCAACCAUUUUCAAAGGCUGGGUUGACUUCCAUGCUGGGUGACUGGCAGUACACAAUCGCUUCUCCUAGUGAAUGUCUACCUUGUGUCAAGUACAUUAGGCUCUUUAUAUAGGUAACAGUAUAUUAAAUGGGACUCUUCCCAUCUCAAGAUUUGGACAGAGGCCUCAAAGGUGAGGAAAAGAAUAAUAGGGAUCAGCUAUGAUCAGCUACCACAUUCUAAAUCAAGAUGCUAGACUAGAGACUUUCCUGGUGGUGCAGGGGUUAAGAAUCCGCCUGCCAAUGCAGGGGACACGGGUUCAAGCCCUGGUCUGGGAAGAUCCCACAUGCCGCGGGGCAGCUAAGCCCGUGCGCCACAACUACUGAGCCUGCGCUCUAGAGCUCGCGAACCACAACGACUGAGCCUGUGCACCACAACUACUGAAGCCCACGCGCCUAGAGCCCGUGCUGUGCAACAAGAGAAGCCACCGCAAUGAGAAGCCCGCGCACUGCAGCAAAGAGUAGCCCCCGCUCGCCACAACUAGAGAAAGCCCGCACACAGCAACAAAAACCCAAUGCAGCCAAAAAUAAAUAAGAUGCUAGACUAUAUCUCAGAUUUGUAAAACGGAUGGUCCAUAGGCCUUUACUCCCCUCCAGACUGUAUAACAGAGGGCUAAGAGCUGAGGCUGAAAGGCAGGUGGUAUUGAAGGUCUGUCUGGAGUGAGUUGUCACUUCCUUCCUCCCCCAGCCAAGGGGAAGGUUUAGGUGUCGAUUCUGUCUUUCACCCACUUAAGAGGGGAAUUGCAGAAAAGAACUCCAAGAGCUAUUGGAGUAUGAGGGACAGAGGGACUCAGGACUGAAAAUAAUCUAGCAGUGAUUGUGGCUGGCUUGUGGGCCUGGAUAGUGAGUCUAAAAAACUGUCUUGGGUGUGAGCCGUACCUCCAGAGCUUAGCAGAGCAUGGAUGUUUGUAUGUUUUCCAAGGGCCAGAUGUGGACUGCCCAAGAGGGCUGCCUGGAAUGGAGAGGUGCCCCACGUAGGGAAAGACUACCAGAAGCCAUGUGGCUGAGAGGGAAUCACAAGUGGCCAGAGAGAGGAGGUACCGAAAACAGACAGAUCUUGGACAAUGACAGUGAGCUAUCAUAACCAGGCAGACUCCAUUUUCAGCUUCUGUUCCAGACAUGUUUUCUUUACUGGAGAAGACAUCCCUUGGCACCUGAUGAGCCAGAAGAAGCCAGAAGGAUAGAGGAAAAUUCCUUCCUCCCCAACACCUGUUAAUAAAGAUCACCCAAAGCAGUUUACUUUCAACUGGCAGGGCCAGCAAUACACUUUUACUCUCCCUCCUCAAGGCUUUAUCAACUACACGGAUGCUAUCAUGCUAGAUGGAUCUGGUGGAAGUGGACUUCAUACGUGAUUGGACUUGAGCAAGACCUAAAGGCAAAAGCAAGUUGCAGGAACAAGUGCCUCAGGUUCCCAUGGCCCCUAUUCCUGCAAAACUGCCUCCUCUUUCUCACACCUCUGGCCUCGUGAGAAGUUCUCUAUGACCAGCUGACUGAGGAAUGAAAAAAGUCUGACCUGCUUGACUGCUGGUUCUGCAUGGUAUGAGUUGGUUCUGCAGGAUUUGAAUUAUUUCUACCAGAAGGUGGAAAGUUGCAGCACUGCUGCCCCACUCAGAGAGGACCCUAAAGUAGCGGUCCCCAACCUUUCUGGCACCAGGGACCGUUUCAUGGAAAACAAUUUUUCCACGGAUGGUGGGGGAUGGGGGAUGGCUCAGGCCGUAAUGCGAGCAAUGGGGAGCGACAGAUGAAGCUUUGCUCGCCCACCGCUCACCUCCUGUUGUGUGGCUCCAGGGGUUGGGGACCCGUCCCUAAAGAAUAAUGGUAAAGGAAAAUCUUCCAGUGCGUAAACCUUUGAGCAGUACACAUGGUUGCUCAUUUUGCCUGGAAGGAGAGAUGGCCAGAGGUAUAGACAUACACUAAAAAAAAGCGUGUGAAAAAAAAUAAAAUUAAAUUUUAAAAAGAAGU